rnacentral:misc_RNA from 1 species
GAUGAAGAACGCAGCAAAAUGCGAUAAGUAAUGUGAAUUGCAGAAUUCAGUGAAUCAUCGAAUCUUUGAACGCACAUUGCGCCCGCCAGUAUUCUGGCGGGCAUGCCUGUUCGAGCGUCAUUUCAACCCCCAAGCCCUCGGGUUUGGUGUUGGGGAUCGGCGAGCCUUUCUGGCAAGCCGGCCCCGAAAUCUAGUGGCGGUCUCGCUGCAGCCUCCAUUGCGUAGUAGUAAAACCCUCGCAACUGGAACGCGGCGCGGCCAAGCCGUUAAACCCCCAACUUCUGAAUGUUGACCUCGGAUCAGGUAGGAAUACCCGCUGAACUUAAGCAUAUCAAUAAGCGGAGGA